UACAGAGGGUGCGAGCGUUGUCCGGAAUCACUGGGCGUAAAGGGCGCGUAGGUGGCGACCCAAGUCGAUGGUGAAAGCUCGCCGCUCAACGGCGAGUCGGCCACCGAUACUGGGUUGCUCGAGCACUGUAGAGGCUAAUGGAAUUCCGGGUGUAGCGGUGGAAUGCGUAGAGAUCCGGAAGAACACCGGUGGCGAAGACGGUUAGCUGGGCAGUUGCUGACACUGAGGCGCGACAGCGUGGGGAGCAAACAGG
rnacentral:rRNA from 1 species